rnacentral:rRNA from 1 species
GUUGAACGCUGGCGGCGUGCCUAACACAUGCAAGUCGAGCGAAGCGGGGACGGGUGAGUAACACGUGGAUAACCUCCUAUAAGACUGGGAACACUUAGGGAAACCGGAGCUAAACCGGAUACUAAUAGAUGGUUCCUCGUGGCAUUAGCUAGUAGGUAAGGUAACGGCUUACCAAGGCAACGAUGCAUAGCCGACCUGAGAGGAUGAUCGGCCACACUGGAACUGAGACACGGUCCAGACUCCUACGGGAGGCAGCAGUGGGGAAUCUUCCGCAAUGGGCGAAAGCCUGACGGAGCAACGCCGCGUGUGUGAUGAAGGUCUUCGGAUCGUAAAGCUCUGUUAGUAGGGAAGCGGUACCUGCUCAGAAAGCCACGGCUAACUACGUGCCAGCAGCCGCGGUAAUUC